rnacentral:rRNA from 1 species
UACGGAGGGUGCAAGCGUUAUCCGGAUUCACUGGGUUUAAAGGGUGCGUAGGUGGCUUUGUAAGUCAGUGGUGAAAUGCCGGAGCUUAACUCCGGAACUGCCAUUGAUACUAUCAUUCUUGAAUAUUGUGGAGGUAAGCGGAAUAUGUCAUGUAGCGGUGAAAUGCUUAGAUAUGACAUAGAACACCGAUAGCGAAGGCAGCUUGCUACACAAUUAUUGACACUGAGGCUCGAAAGCGUGGGGAUCAAACAGG